AACGAACGCUGGCGGCAUGCCUAACACAUGCAAGUCGAACGAGACCUUCGGGUCUUGUGGCGCACGGGUGUGUAACGCGUGGGAACCUGCCCCUAGGUUUGGAAUACCUCCCCGAAAGGGGUGCUAUUACCGGAGAAUGUCUUCGGACCAAAGAUUUAUCGCCCUUGGAUGGGCCCGCGUUGGAUUAGCUAGUUGGUAGGGUAAAAGCCUACCAAGGCGACGAUCCCUAGCUGGUCUGAGAGGAUGAUCAGCCACACUGGGACUGAGACACGGCCCAGACUCCUACGGGAGGCAGCAGUGGGGAAUAUUGGACAAUGGGCGAAAGCCUGAUCCAGCAAUGCCGCGUGAGUGAUGAAGGCCUUAGGGUUGUAAAGCUCUUUUACCCGGGAUGAUAAUGACAGUACCGGGAGAAUAAGCUCCGGCUAACUCCGUG
rnacentral:rRNA from 1 species